CUGGCCUUGACAUCCUGCGAACUUUCUAGAGAUAGAUUGGUGCCUUCGGGAACGCAGUGACAGGUGCUGCAUGGCCGUCGUCAGCUCGUGUCGUGAGAUGUUGGGUUAAGUCCCGUAACGAGCGCAACCCCUAUCCUUAGUUGCUAGCAGUUCGGCUGAGAACUCUAGGGAGACUGCCGGUGACAAACCGGAGGAAGGUGGGGAUGACGUCAGGUCAUCAUGGCCCUUACGGCCAGGGCUACACACGUGCUACAAUGGUGCGUACAGAGGGCUGCAAACCCGCGAGGGGGAGCUAAUCUCACAAAACGCAUCGUAGUCCGGAUCGGAGUCUGCAACUCGACUCCGUGAAGUCGGAAUCGCUAGUAAUCGCGAAUCAGAAUGUCGCGGUGAAUACGUUCCC
rnacentral:rRNA from 1 species